CAAGGACAUACAUAUCCAUCUUCUCUUGUACAUUGGAAAGUGAUUUCUGGGGAUGACAAGAGGACCUUUAGUCCACAGAGAGUCCUCUGCGGGUAACACGAGAAACUAGUGGGUACGAAGAUGCUAGUCAUGUGAGGCAGAUAAGAGAUCACGGUGCUCGUAACCGUGGUAGUCCAGAAACUAGUGGGUACGAAGAUGCUAGUCGUGCCAGGAGGCAUGCACGUCUUUCUCCUCGAAAGAGAACCAGUCUAGUUACCUAUGGGGUACCCUAUUUUACAACUACCGCCAGUGUCAGUGGCAGGUCAGUCACAUCUCCAUGCCAUGAAUUCUGGUCUUUCUAGAUGUCAAGCGGUAAAUGGAGUCUCUGCAACAGGAAAUCUUCACCCUAUUCGAGUAAACUCGGGCAAUGAGUAAGAACUUAGUCACUUAUUCUUCCAUGUACUGUUUCUUAACUUCGGUUAUAGCUUUCGUAUUUGUAAAAGUAAGAUUCAGUUGUGAAGCAGACCUGCUGAAACUUGUGGUUUAGUGGAUACCAUAACUGUAAUAACUU